CUAUUUCGACCCUAACUCAUUGAGGUAAUUUUUUUUUUCUACACAGAUAUCUUUUCACCAAUAAAUUAUACAUUUUUAUUUCUUUACUGAGUUUUAGUUUGUUUUUGUUCAAUCAGAAUUGGCGAAGGGAGUAGUACAAGGUAGAUCAUUAGUUUUAGUCUUAAGAGCUAGAUCAAUUGCCAUCGCGUGCCUCUAAAGGAAUUAAAGAUAUUCAAGUAAUGAUGGUAUUUACCGUAAGGAGAGUUCAAAACAAAACUUUGUACUCAAUAGCCAAUAACCCUAAAUAUAAAAAUACUACAUUAGCUUGGCAUCCUAUUCACCAUUGGAUAAUAUCCUUUUGGGUUCAAAGGCGAAAGAUGAGAUCCACCACAUCAAAUGGUGAACACCAGGGAUACAUGAUGCUCAUUCAAGUUGCCUUUGUUCGGGUGUGCCCCAAACUGAAGCAUAGUGAAACUCUAGCUUCAGAUUCUCAAAGUGAGGGUGUGAUCCAAACUGAAGGAAACUUGAAAAAAAGGAGGAGGCAAAAGGGAACAUGGUGUUCAAUCUGGCCAUCCUCAACAUGGGAUAUAUAUAUAUAUAUAUAUAUGCCUAUAUCACAAGGCUUACCUGUUUGAGGAUGUAAAUCGUUUGUGAAGUAAAUAGAAUUACUAUGUACUCCCGGGCUCUCAAUAGUUGGGAUUUUCAUUGUGGUUCUCUUUCAACUUGUAUACCAGAAAUUUGAAGGUUAUAUAAUGAGCAUAAAUAUCCCAAAGAGUCAAUGAAGGCACAACUUCCAGAAGAAGAAAGAUGGUCGGGACUUAGAAACAGAUCUCUGGAUGGUUUUGCCACAUAAGUUUGAAGGAUAGAGAAGUAAGAGACGAAGCAUUUAUCAAUGGAAGACAAGAUCUUUCAAGUGGUGUUAUACAGGAGCAUGCAUGGAUGUGGGCUUAGGCAGGAUAAAUGCUACAAACAUCACAAGACUUUAUGGUACGGUGCAACAAAUCUUCAGGAAGUAGCUCAGCUUCACAAGACAUGUUACUUUCUUUUUUGAUGGGACCCAUAUGGUGUUGAACCUCCAAGAUACCAUUCAUAUAUGGAAUAGUAACUAUACCUUGUAUGGAUAGGAGGCAGGAAGGAGUGUGCAUAACAAAAGAUAUAAGGUGGCAUCAAGACAUUUCAUGUUAGUGUUGGUGUUCUUCGAUGAUUAUAUUGGAAUCUAAGCUGUAAUCUGACUGUAACACCCCAAACCCAAAUAACAAGUAUGGUGUUGCCCUCACAGGCAGUGAUGUAAAAUGAUCAUUAACUUUCAUCAAUAACACGUAGGCUUUGUUUCCACUAUUA